UAAAUCUUGCCUCCAUGGUGAAAUGUGGCAGAAGUAGGGGGUUUUACUGUGUCAGAUGUGUUUGCUGGCCACCAUGCUCCUAACCACACCCCUAAUUGCACUGUGGGUUUAUGUCUAAUCUGGAAGGUAUUUUACCUGACUGCUUGAUCUGAAGUGUUUCAGCUACUCUUGGGCAAUACGCCCACAUUAUUUAUUGCAGAUGGGACCAGUGUGUGGUGCUAUUCCAGCCUGUGCUUUUGGUGCUGAGGUGACCUUGAGCAGACUGGCAGGCCAUUUCUGUAAUCUUCAGAGCCAAAUGCAUCAGUCAAACCAUCCUUCUUGGAAUACUUUCGAAUUUUUAUGAGGACUCUUUUUCAUUAAAUUGGUAUCAUCAUGUACAGAGGAUUUGGAGAUGCACGGCCUCUGUUCACACUUCGAGCACUGUGAGGAUUCCAGUCUUUUCAUGCCACUGGUGACAAGAAGAUUGCUUUGAUUCACCUGUCACCAGUUAUGAGGACACUGCCAAUGACUCAACCUGAUUCCUGCAAGUCAGAGGUGGGCAUGCAAUCUGUUUCACUAGAUACCAUAGUGGCUUUUAAGGGAGCCUCUCUUUUAAUCAGACUCCUCACAGUCAGAUGUGGUAGGUUCAAAAAUUCUUUGUGAUGCCUUGGAACCUCUCCCCUUCCUUCACCUCAGAGCCAUCCAAUCUUUCUGCAGCCUGCUAUCAAAUUGCAGUGCUACAAAGAGAGGGAAAAGGGUGGGUUGUGUUGUACAUACAACAGUUGCAGCUCAGCUUUUAUCCUAUGUGUGUAUAUAUUGUUUUCGAGUCAGCGUGAAUGAGAAAGUUCUAAUGAAACCUAAAAAUACAAGGAACGUUGACCUUCAAGAGAAGUUUCCUAUUCCAGCCGUUCAGCUCAGUCUGUGACUGCUGCUGCUUUUCCUGACUGUAGAGAGAGAGGCUGAAAUGAGAAAUCAGCUUGUUUAUGGCAGGUUUUAGUGCUUCACUGGUAUAAUAAAAGAGGCUUUCGCAGAAGGGAUUUGGUUCUCGUGUACUUCAGUGUUUUCUGCUCCAUUUUGCUCCAUAAAAGCCAGGCUCUUGUUUACAAGAAUUAGCAGCUUCCCGAGGUUUCUGCUGAUUUUGAGGAAUCAACCCCUUGCAGUUAUGUGACACCAGCAUGCAGCUCCCACUCCAGCCGGUGCUUGCAGAACGACUGUUCCCUACGUGCGGCUGAGCACUUGGAUUAAACACCUGCACAAAACAAUUGGCACAACCCAAAGGGCUGUUAGAGGCUCCAUAUCCUGUUUGGGAAUCACUUCAAGUGAAAUUAAUGAUUCUUCUCUGUGUGCAGACUUUUAAAAAAGAAAUCUGUUUUUAUAUGUGCAAUUAAUCCAAAGCGGUUGGCGUGCACUCUGUGCUGUUACAUGUCAAUAAGACAGCAACUUUAUGACUUUCAAUUCCAUAGGAUGUGUAGUAUUUAAAACAAUUGCAUAGAUUGUCUUAAAUUUAGAUUGCGAUCUAAACUCACAUUUUAGACAACAAAAUCCUUGCACAGGUGGUAACUGUAACAUGUGCAUAUCCCCCUGACCAUUUACCUUUUCUCCAUUUUGGAAUGAGAGGGAGAAUGUCAUUUAAAAGGCAUUUAUGCAUGUGGUCCCCACAUGACAUAGAUAUUAGAGCUAAAUUAUUUUCAUGGCAGAGAUUCAAAAACUGAAAAUUUCCAGUAGGCUUUGUGUGCUGAUUCACAAAGUGCUGCCAGCACUUGUGAUAUUAUCACGAGCCUUGUGAUAGUUAAUAUUCUGUCCUAAAGCUUCAGGUUUUCUCUACAUGUGGUUUUUUGAAUCUUAAGUUUCCUAUCAAAAAGAAAAGCCCAUUUCUCUCCUAGCUGCAGAGAACAUCUUGAAAUAACGUUUCCUCUCCCAAGAGCCAAAAAACAUCAGGAAGAAGGUAAAGUUUUCCAAGUUUUUUUUUUUUUUUUCCUCAGUCUGGAGUUUUUGAUUCCCAUUUAGCUCUAACUUGUUUGGAUCUUUCUUGUGGAUUUAAAAUGACUGCAUUUGAUGCAAGAAACAACCAAUCUACAUUGUGUUUGUGAUUUGAUGCUUCAGAUGCAGACAGAAUUA